GCAUAAUCACUUGUCCCUUAAAUCGGGACUGGAAUGAACGGCUAAAUGAGGACUAAACUGUCUCUUACAGGCUAGCCAAUGAAAUUGAUUUUCCAGUACAAAAGCUGGAAUAUAACCACAAGACGAGAAGACCCUGUGGAGCUUACAAACCAAAUUCACCAAACAUGUCUUUAUCGGUUUUCAGUUGGGGCGACUUUGGAGUAAAAAACAACCUCCAAACACCAAACUAAUUAAGAACAACAUAUCAAAAUAUAUCUGUAAUGACCCAGCAACCCUGUGGUUGUCUGAUUAAUGAACCAAGUUACCCCAGGGAUAACAGCGCCAUCCCCUUCUAGAGUCCCUAUCGACAAGGGUGUUUACGACCUCGAUGUUGGAUCAGGACACCCCAAUGGUGCAGCCGCCAUUAACGGUUCGUUUGUUCAACGAUUAAAGUCCAACGUGAU
rnacentral:rRNA from 1 species